GAUGAACGCUAGCGGCAGGCCUAACACAUGCAAGUCGAGGGGUAACAUAGGAGAGCUUGCUCUUUUGAUGACGACCGGCGCACGGGUGAGUAACGCGUAUACAAUCUGCCUUGUACAGGAGUAUAGCCCAGGGAAACUUGGAUUAAUCCUCCAUAGCCUAUAUAAAUAGCAUUAUUGAUAUAGUAAAGAUUUAUCGGUACAAGAUGAGUAUGCGUCCUAUUAGUCUGUUGGUAAGGUAACGGCUUACCAAAACUAUGAUAGGUAGGGGCCCUGAGAGGGGGAUCCCCCACACUGGUACUGAGACACGGACCAGACUCCUACGGGAGGCAGCAGUGAGGAAUAUUGGACAAUGGGUGAGAGCCUGAUCCAGCCAUGCCGCGUGCAGGAAGACGGCCCUAUGGGUUGUAAACUGCUUUUAUACGGGAAGAAACCCCCCAACGUGUUGGGGGCUGACGGUACCGUAAGAAUAAGGACCGGCUAACUCCGUGCCAGCCGCCGCCGUAACAC
rnacentral:rRNA from 1 species